rnacentral:rRNA from 1 species
GACGAACCGUGCGAACGUUGUUCGGAAUCACUGGGCUUAAAGGGCGCGUAGGCGGCUUGCCAAGUCAGGGGUGAAAUCCUGCAGCUUAACUGUAGAAGGGCCUUUGAUACUGGCGAGCUCGAGGGAGGUAGGGGUAGAGGGAAUUUCCAGUGGAGCGGUGAAAUGCGUAGAUAUUGGAAAGACCACCAAUGGCGAAGGCACUCUACUGGGCCAUAACUGACACUGAGAGACGAAAGCUAGGGGAGCAAAUGGG